GAGUUUGAUCAUGGCUCAGAACGAACGCUGGCGGCAUGCCUAAUACAUGCAAGUCGAACGAUCCCUUCGGGGAUAGUGGCGCACGGGUGCGUAACGCGUGGGAAUCUGCCCUUGGGUUCGGAAUAACGUCGGGAAACUGACGCUAAUACCGGAUGAUGACGUAAGUCCAAAGAUUUAUCGCCCAGGGAUGAGCCCGCGUAGGAUUAGCUAGUUGGUGGGGUAAAGGCCUACCAAGGCGACGAUCCUUAGCUGGUCUGAGAGGAUGAUCAGCCACACUGGGACUGAGACACGGCCCAGACUCCUACGGGAGGCAGCAGUAGGGAAUAUUGGACAAUGGGCGCGAGCCUGAUCCAGCAAUGCCGCGUGAGUGAUGAAGGCCUUAGGGUUGUAAAGCUCUUUUACCAGAGAUGAUAAUGACAGUAUCUGGGGAAUAAGCCCCGGCUAACUCCGUGCCAGCAGCCGCGGUAAUACGGAGGGGGCUAGCGUUGUUCGGAAUUACUGGGCGUAAAGCGCACGUAGGCGGCGAUUUAAGUCAGAGGUGAAAGCCCGGGGCUCAACCCCGGAACUGCCUUUGAGACUGGAUUGCUUGAAUCCGGGAGAGGUGAGUGGAAUUCCGAGUGUAGAGGUGA
rnacentral:rRNA from 1 species